AGAUUGAACGCUGGCGGCAUGCCUAACACAUGCAAGUCGAACGGUAACGCGGGGGCAACCCUGGCGACGAGUGGCGGACGGGUGAGUAAUACGUAGGAAUCUGCCCAUUUGUGGGGGAUAACCCGGCGAAAGCCGGGCUAAUACCGCAUACGCUCUACGGAGGAAAGCGGGGGAUCGCAAGACCUCGCGCUAAUGGAUGAGCCUACGUCGGAUUAGCUAGUUGGUAGGUAACGCCUACCAAGGCGACGAUCCGUAGCUGGUCUGAGAGGACGAUCAGCCACACUGGGACUGAGACACGGCCCAGACUCCGUACGGGAGGCAGCAGUGGGAAUAUUGGACAAGUGGGGACAACCCGUGAUCAGCAAUGCCGCGUGUGUAGAAGAAGGCGUGCGGGUUAGUAAACGCUACUUUACGAAGGAAGGGAAAGAAAAAGUACGAAACUAACACUUACCGACUUAC
rnacentral:rRNA from 1 species